rnacentral:rRNA from 1 species
UGGAUAGGGGUUCUGAGAGGAAGGUCCCCCACAUUGGAACUGAGACGCGGUCCAAACUCUACGGGAGGCAGCAGUGAGGAAUAUUGGUCAAUGGGCGAGAGCCUGAACCAGCCCAGUAGCGUGAAGGAUGACUGCCUAUGGGUUGUAAACUUCUUUUAUAAAGGAAUAAGUCGGGUAUGGAUACCCGUUUGCAUGUACUUUAUGAAUAAGGAUCGGCUAACUCCGUGCCAGCAGCCGCGGUAAUACGGAGGAUUCGAGCGUUAUCCGGAUUUAUUGGGUUUAAAGGGAGCGUAGAUGGAUGUUUAAGUCAGUUGUGAAAGUUUGCGGCUCAACCGUAAAAUUGCAGUUGAUACUGGAUAUCUUGAGUGCAGUUGAGGCAGGCG